rnacentral:lncRNA from 1 species
ACACACGGUUUCACAUAAAAAAUCUUGUAAAACAAAUACAUAAGCGUAAUUUCUUGAAAGGUUUUCGGUAUAUCUAAAUAAUUUUUCGAUAUUAACUUGGCAUUCUUUUCUCUGAAUUUCUUUAAAAAGUUAGAGAAACACAUAAAAAAUUGAUUAUAGGUUCUUAUGUACGUUGAGAGGUUUGGUAGAUGUAAAUCCAUAAUCAAUAGAUUGGCAUGAAAAUCUGGUAUUAAGUCAGAAACGAGUCGUUUUAAUCAGCGUCAAGCUUCGUAUAAACUUUGGUGAUAAAACAAAGUAUGUAAUACUUGCGAUUGCGCGAGACAAAAUUUGGCUCGUUAAAGGUCUAUGGAAUUCCAAACAUCACAGCAAUAAGUAGAGCCACCAAGAACAACGUAAAGGCUACAAAGAAAGUAACUACAUGGUUCUGACUUAAAAAGAAAAAAAAAAAAGAAAAAAAGAAACAAAAAAAUGUAAUUAUGUCCACUCUAUUCGUUGUUCGAUAAACUAGAUGAGUGAGUAUUACUUUGCUUAAAAACAGGUGGGGGUUGGCGACAGGAAGGGAAUCCGGCGAUAGAAAAUCUGCCUUAAAAAAUUCCGUCUAAUCCAAGCAAGCCUGGAAAAGUGAGUGUUAAGAUGACGACGAUUACGUUGGUGAUGAUGACGACGACGAUUAUGAUGAUUCUGGAUUCCGAAUUUUGUCAGUUAAUGCCUCUUACCUAGCGCUGGAUUAACCAUUAAGCAAAAUAAUCACAUGUUUAGAGUACCACAGAAGUGAUGAAUGGUUUACGGCACAAAAGAAAUCACUUUAAACUAGCUAAAAUAAUAUUCGAAGUGGUUUAUGUGAUCGGAAAUAUAUUUUCGAAGUGAGGAUCUGAUUAAAGUAGGGGAAAACUUUUUAGGUAUAAAUAAAAUGGAAGAGUACAAAAAUAAACAUUAUUUUCCAUCUU